rnacentral:rRNA from 1 species
CCUACGGGAGGCAGCAGUGGGGAAUAUUGCACAAUGGGGGAAACCCUGAUGCAGCAACGCCGCGUGAGUGAAGAAGUAUUUCGGUAUGUAAACCUCUAUUAGCAGGGAAGAAGAAAGCCGGUACCUGACUAAGAAGCCCCGCCUAACUACGUCCCAGCAGCUGCGGUAAUACGUAGGGUGCAAGCUUUAUCCGGAUUUACUGGGUGUAAAGGGAGCGUAGCAGGCUGGGCAAGUCUGAAGUGAAAGCCCUUGGCUCAACCGCGGAACUGCUUUGGAAACUGUAUUGCUUGAGUACUGGAGAGGCAGGUGGAAUUCCUGGUGUAGCGGUGAAAUGCGUAGAUAUUAAGAGGAACACUCGUGGCGAAGGCGGCCUGCUGGACAAAAACUGACGUUGAGGCUCGAAAGCGUGGGGAGCAAACAGGAUUAGAUACCCUUGUAGUC